UUUUCCUCCUUUAUUCUUGGUUCUUCCUUUCUUUUGGGUCAUUAUUGUUAGCUUUGAAAUUUAAUGGUUCCUGAUAUGUUUUUCUCUCAUUUUUUCAUCUUUUUUCCCCUUUGUAUUUUUUGGCUAAUUCUGAAGUUUAGUGGCUAUUGCAGGGCUGUUAUAUGCUGCGAUACUUAAUAACUCUUCAUUUUAUCACCCAGAUACUAAAUUUUAUCACCCUGAUAGUAAGAUAAGUUAAACUGGAGAAGGAGCGCUGACAGGCAUAGAGACGAAGAGGAACGGAGAAGGAGAAACAUCAGGAAUACACAUCCGUAAUCUAUAUAUGUAGUCCAGCUGAAUCCACCUUUCCAGAAAAUCUUCAAAAAUUCAAGGUGGUUUGCCUAUGAUGACGUCCACACUCUAGAGGAGAUAUAUUAUCUAUGUGAGAGGAUGCUCCUGUACCGACGUGCAUCUCACAGUUAGAGGGUGAGUCCGAAACUUAAAUAGUGCCCUUUUGGGCACAAAAUACCUUUCUACUAUUAAAAAAAAGUUACAUAAGUACAUAAAAUGCAGUAUAAUACUACGUUUCACUUUAACGGAAAGUUAGCCGUUAAAGUUAAACGCAGUACUAUACUGUGUAUUAUUUAAAAAAUAAUUUUUUUUAGGAAAACUCAGUACAAAACUGCGUUUCCCUUAAAAGCAUUAUAUUGUACUAUGUUUUCCUUUAAUAAAAUAUAGGGCCCCUUCUUCUUCCCCAAGAUAACGACAGUCACUCCUCCAUUUUUAAAAAACUCCCCACUCACUGUUGGACCCCCCCCCCCUCCCGAAAUUAAAAAAAAAAUUUGGGCCCCAUCCGUCACCCAAAAAGCGAAGAGUGUAGGUCCCGCACACAUCACAAGCCUUGGAUUCCUUCUUUCGGGUUCAAAAAUUCGAUUUGGAUCUUUUUAAAAAAACUUAAAUCGAGGUAUUUCGAUUUUGUUUAUGUCAAAACUCGUAGAGUAUACGCAUAUUUGUUUUGUUGA